CUUAGGUUGCUGGGAAGAAUUUGCCAUAGCUCUCCAAGAAGGGAGUAGAGUUCGGCUGGAAUGUGCAUUUCCCAUCUUGAAGGAGAUGUUUCUUGUUAACAGAUCCUGACCCAUAUGCCAGUAUACCAGGCUCCUCAGAGAUUGCAACGGAGUCUCUUGUCCAUAUUUCCUGUUGGUACCUCAACUCUGUUUCCAAGCAAGGCAAGCUACUAAGAUACGUACUACAGUUCCACAAUCACGGGAAGGA